rnacentral:rRNA from 1 species
UACGGAGGGUGCAAGCGUUAUUCGGAUUUAUUGGGCGUAAAGGGCGUGUAGGUGGUCUGAUAAGUCAGGUGUGAAAGCCCCUGGCUCAACCAGGGAAGUGCAUUUGAAACUAUCAGACUUGAGUACGGGAGGGGGAAGUGGAAUUCCUGGUGUAGAGGUGAAAUUCGUAGAUAUCAGGAGGAAUACCGGUGGCGAAGGCGACUUCCUGGACCGAUACUGACACUGAGACGCGAAAGCGUGGGGAGCAACCAGG